UAAAACCCUUGAAUGAGUAGGUGCUCUAAAACCCUUGAAUGAGUAGGUGUUCUAAAACCCUUGAAUGAGUAGGUGUUCUAAAACCCUUGAAUGAGUAGGUGUUCUAAAACCCUUGAAUGAGUAGGUGUUCUAAAACCCUUGAAUGAGUAGGUGUUCUAAAACCCUUGAAUGAGUAGGUGUUCUAAAACCCUUGAAUUAGUAGGUGUUCUAAAACCCUUGAAUGAGUAGGUGUUCUAAAACCCUUGAAUGAGUAGGUGUUCUAAAACCCUUGAAUGAGUAGGUGUUCUAAAACCCUUGAAUGAGUAGGUGUUCUAAAACCCUUGAAUGAGUAGGUGUUCUAAAACCCUUGAAUGAGUAGGUGUUCUAAAACCCUUGAAUGAGUAGGUGUUCUAAAACCCUUGAAUGAGUAGGUGUUCUAAAACCCUUGAAUGAGUAGGUGUUCUAAAACCCUUGAAUGAGUAGGUGUUCUAAAACCCUUGAAUGAGUAGGUGCUCUAAAACCCUUGAAUGAGGAGGUGUGUCCAAACUUUUGACUGGUACUGUGUGUACACU